rnacentral:rRNA from 1 species
AAUCAACGCUGGCGGCGUGCCUCAGACAUGCAAGUCGAACGCGAAAGUCCCCUUCGGGGGACAAGUAGAGUGGCGCACGGGUGAGUAACACGUAGGUAAUCUACCUUCGGAUGGGGAAUAACAACCGGAAACGGUUGCUAAUACCGCAUAAUGCAGCGGCACCUAAUGGUGACAGUUGUUAAAGCGGGGGAUCGUAAGACCUCGCGUCUGAAGAGGAGCCUGCGGCGGAUUAGCUAGNGGUAAGGUAAUGGCUUACCAAGGCUACGAUCCGUAACCGGCCUGAGAGGGCGGUCGGUCACACUGACACCGACAUACGGGUCAGACUCCUACGGGAGGCAGCAGUCGGGAAUUUUGGGCAAUGGGCGAAAGCCUGACCCAGCAACGCCGCGUGAAGGAUGAAAUCCCUCGGGAUGUAAACUUCGCAAGAAACGGGAAGAAUAAGCGAGAGUUAAUAUUCUUUCGUGU